GACCGUUUGUCCUGGCAUUGAGCGUCCGUGGUUACUGAUCAUGUGUACGCGAGGUGCUGGACACUACCUUCGGAGGAGCGUUCGUGCUUUUAACUAAGUGCGGGCGGGAUUCCGAUAGUUUACUUUGAGAAAAAUAGAGUGUUCAAAGCAGGCGUUUGCCUUGAAUACAUUAUCAUGGGAUAAUGAAAUAGGACGUUGGCUCUAUUUUGAUGGUUUACGGACCGACGUAAUGAUUAAUAGGGACAGUUGGGGACAUUUAUAUUCCAUGGCUAGAGGUGAAAUUCUUGGAUUCAUGGAAGAUAAACUACUGCGAAAGCAUUUGUCAAAGAUGCUUUCAUUGAUCAAGAACGAAAGUUAGGGUAGC
rnacentral:rRNA from 1 species